AGGGGAUGACUUCUGAACUUGGCUUUGAGGAUGAAGGAGAAGAAAGCUUUUCAGAUUAAAGGAACAACAUCAAGAAAAGACAUGGGGCCUUGAAAGAAGAUACUGAAUUUGCAAUACUUCUUAAAGCAGUGGAAGUUGAGAAAGAGACUCCAUUACUUGAUGGAAGAAUGAUAAGGUUCUAAAGAGUCUGUGAGAUCGGUGGUAUUGUUUGAACCAGCUUCAGAAAAUUAAAUAUGCUGCAGGCUUCCUAAUACUGAGUCCCAGAAUUAGAGGGACAUACUCUUCUUGUCAUAGGCAGCUCUGGUAAACCCACAUUGAUGCCUG
rnacentral:lncRNA from 1 species